GACGAACGCUGGCGGCGUGCUUAACACAUGCAAGUCGAACGAAGUGGCGAACGGGUGAGUAACGCGUAAUCAACCUGCCCUUCAGAGGGGGACAACAGUUGGAAACGACUGCUAAUACCGCAUACUGAAGGAGGGGAUUGCGUCUGAUUAGCUAGUUGGAGUGGUAACGGCCCACCAAGGCGAGGAUCAUUAGCAGUUCUGGGCUGAUUAACGGCCACUUUGCGACCGAGACACUGCCCAGACUCCUACGGGCGGCAGCAGUGGGGAUUCUUCCGCAAUGUACGAAAGUCUGACGGAGCAACGCAGCGUGAGUGAUGACGGCCUUCGUGUUGUAAAGCUCUGUUAAUCGGGACGCGGUACCGGAAUAGAAAGCCACGGCUAACUACGUGCCAGCAGCCGCGGUAAUAC
rnacentral:rRNA from 1 species